rnacentral:rRNA from 1 species
AGUGAACGCUGGCGGUAGGCCUAACACAUGCAAGUCGAACGGCAGCACAGGAGAGCUUGCUCUCUGGGUGGCGAGUGGCGGACGGGUGAGGAAUACAUCGGAAUCUACUCUGUCGUGGGGGAUAACGUAGGGAAACUUACGCUAAUACCGCAUACGACCUACGGAUGAAAGCAGGGGACCUUCGGGCCUUGCGCGAUUGAAUGAGCCGAUGUCGGAUUAGCUAGUUGGCGGGGUAAGGGCCCACCAAGGCGACGAUCCGUAGCUGGUCUGAGAGGAUGAUCAGCCACACUGGAACUGAGACACGGUCCAGACUCCUACGGGAGGCAGCAGUGGGGAAUAUUGGACAAUGGGCGCAAGCCUGAUCCAGCCAUACCGCGUGGGUGAAGAAGGCCUUCGGGUUGUAAAGCCCUUUUGUUGGGAAAGAAAUCCAGCUGGCUAAUACCCGGUUGGGAUGACGGUACCCAAAGAAUAAGCACCGGCUAACUUCGUGCCAGCAGCCGCCGCGG